rnacentral:rRNA from 1 species
AGCGAACGCUGGCGGCGUGCCUAACACAUGCAAGUCGAACGUGAAAGGGAGCAAUCCCAAGUAAAGUGGCGUACGGGUGAGUAACACGUAGGUAAUCUACCCCAGAGUCUGGAAUAACCUGCCGAAAGGCGGGCUAAUACUGGAUAGAGCGACGGAAUCCGGAAUUGGGUUUUUCGGGAAAGGGAGGAAGCAAUUCCCUUCGCUCUGGGAUGAGCCUGCGUCUCAUUAGCUAGUUGGUGGGGUAAUGGCCUACCAAGGCCUUGAUGGGUAGCUGGUCUGAGAGGGUGAUCAGCCACACUGGAACUGAAACACGGUCCAGACUCCUACGGGAGGCAGCAGUGGGGAAUCUUGCGCAAUGGACGAAAGUCUGACGCAGCCACGCCGCGUGAGUGAAGAAGGCCUUCGGGUUGUAAAGCUCUGUCGAGCGGGACGAAAAAUUUAAGGGUUAACAGCCCUUAGAUCUGACGGUACCGCUAGAGGAAGCACCGGCUAACUCCGUGCCAGCCGCCGCCGUAAUAC